GACAGAGGAUGCAAGCGUUAUCCGGAAUGAUUGGGCGUAAAGCGUCUGUAGGUGGCUUUUUAAGUCCGCCGUCAAAUCCCAGGGCUCAACCCUGGACAGGCGGUGGAAACUACCAAGCUGGAGUACGGUAGGGGCAGAGGGAAUUCCGGUGGAGCGGUGAAAUGCGUAGAGUAUCGGAAGAACACCAAGCGGCGAAGGCGGACUUGACUGGUCCGGAACUGGACGCUGAGGUGG
rnacentral:rRNA from 1 species